CCUACGGGAGGCAGCAGUCGAGAAUCAUUCACAAUGGGGGAAACCCUGAUGGUGCGACGCCGCGUGGGGGAAUGAAGGUCUUCGGAUUGUAAACCCCUGUCAUGUGGGAGCAAAUUAAAAAGAUAGUACCACAAGAGAAAGAGACGGCUAACUCUGUGCCAGCAGCCGCGGUAAUACAGAGGUCUCAAGCGUUGUUCGGAUUCACUGGGCGGAAAGCGUGCGUAGGCUGUUUCGUAAGUCGUGUGUGAAAGGCGCGGGCUCAACCCGCGGACGGCACAUGAUACUGCGAGACUAGAGUAAUGGAGGGGGAACCGGAAUGCUCGGUGUAGCAGUGAAAUGCGUAGAGAUCGUGAGGAACACUCGUGGCGAAGGCGGGUUCCUGGACAUUAACUGACGCUGAGGCACGAAGGCCAGGGGAGCGAAAGGGAUUAGAUACCCCAGUAGUC
rnacentral:rRNA from 1 species